GAAAGAGACUGUGUUGAUCCUAUUAGGGAAGAGAUGGCAGAUAGAUAGUGUUACACAAUGACACUUGGAAGCCAGUACUUCUGUACUUUGAUAUCUGGAAUAUGAUGAUAUCCACAAACCAAGGGAAUCCAGAAUUUAGUAAACAAUGACUCUAGUCACUCUUCCAGUCACUGGGAACAUGUGGUGCAUGGAGAUUUGUUGGGAAGGAAAAAAGAAUGAUCCUGCAACUUCACUUGCUUUAUGGUGUGUGGAACAGUAAUCCUCCUGACAUGGCUUUUUGGUGGAACAAAGGAUGUGCUGUACAGUACACAUUUGCAAGAUUGCAGAACAUAUUUGGCUGUUCUCAUCUCCACUGUCCUGAGAAUACUAUGUGUGAAGAAAUUUGAAGAAAUCUGUUUGCCUAGGUCGACUGAACUGAGAACCUGAUUUCUGGGUGCCUGUGAGAUUCCCUGGAACCUGUCUGCAGAAGUGCCACUGAAACUCAUUGGGAAGUCAUCCAUGGAGGUGGCAGUGUCAAUAUGACUAGAUGUCUUUCCAGCCUCUUCCCUCAAGUACACACUCUGCAUGGAGCCUGCUCCUCCCUCUGCCUGUGUCUCUGCCUCUCUCUCUCUAUAUAUAUAUAUCUCAUGAAUAAAUAAAUAAGUAUAAUCUUUAAAAAAAGACUA
rnacentral:lncRNA from 12 species